GCGGGCGUAGCUCAGUGGCAGAGCAGCGUCCUUCCAAGUCGAGUACGAGGGUUCGAUUCCCUUCGCCCGCUCCA
rnacentral:tRNA from 1 species